rnacentral:piRNA from 1 species
UCCUACAGACGCAUCUACGGUUAACAUAGC